rnacentral:lncRNA from 1 species
GUCCACCGCCGGGCCACUCCGAUUUGCUCCUCCUCGCCACGGUGAGUAUACGCCUAACGCUUAUCCGGCCGAGAACUCGUCAACUCGGGCGCGUUUUCGAACAGAGACCCUACGUAACCUAAAACCUUUCUAACCCUAAACCCUUUCUAGCCCUAAACCCUGCCUAACCCUAAACCCUUUCAAACCCUAAACCCUACCUAACCCUAAACCCUCCCAAACCCUAAACCCCUUCUAACCCUAAAUCUGACCUAACUCUAAACCCUGCCUAACCCUAAACCCAACCUAACCCUAAACCCUUUUUAACCUUAAACCCUUUCUAGCCCUAAAUCCUACUAACCAUAAACCCUACUAACCAUAUAUCCUUUCUAACCCUAUACCCUGCUAACCCUAAACCCUACCUAAUUCUAAACCCUACCUAACCCUAAACUCUACUAACCCUAAACCUAGCCCUAAAACCUACCUAACCCUAAACCCUACUAACCCUAAGCCCUACCUAAUUCUAAACCCUACCUAGCCCUAAACCCUACCUAACUCUUAACCCUACCUACCCUAACCCUACCUAACCCUAAACCCUACCUAGCCCUAAACCCUACUAACCCUAAACCCUACCUAACCCUAAACCCUACCCAACCCUAAACCCUACUAAGUUUAAACCCUACUAACCCUAAACCCUACCUAACCCUAAACCCUACUAAUUCCAAACCUACUUAACCCUAAACCCUACCUAACCCUAAACCCUACCUUGCCCCAAACCCUACUAACCCUAAACCCUACCUAACCCUAAACCCUACCUACCCUAAACCCUUUUUAACCCUAAACUCUUUCUAACCCUAAACCCUACCUAGCCUUAAACCCUACUAACCCUAAACCCUACCUAACCCUAAACCUUACCCAACCCUAAACCCUACUAACUUUAAACCCUACUAACCCUAAACCCUACUAAUUCCAAACCCUACCUAACCCUAAACCCUACCUUGCCCCAAACCCUAAUAACCCUAAACCCUACCUAACCCUAAACCCUACUAACCCUAAACCUCACCUAACCCUAAACCCUACCAACCCUAAACCCUACCUAACCCUAAACCCUACCAAACCUAAACCCUACCUAGCCCUAAACCCUACCCUAAACCCUUUUUAACUCUAAACCCUACCUAACCCUAAACCCUUUCUAACCCUAAACCAUUCGUAACCCUAAACCCUGCCUAACCCUAAACCCUUUCUAACCCUAAACCCUUUCUAACCCUAAACCCUACCUAACCCUAAACCCUACCUAACCCUAAACCCUACUAACCUUAAACCCUACCUAAUUCUAAAACCUACCUAACCCUAAACCCUACCUACCCUAAACCCUACUAAUUCCAAACCCUACCUAACCCUAAACCCUACCUAACCCUAAACCCUACUUAACCCUAAACCCUUUCUAACCCUAAACCCUACCUUGCCCUAAACCCUAUUAACCCUAAAUCCUUUCUAACUCUUGACCCUUUGUAACCCUAAACCAUGCCUAACCCUAUAAACCCUACCUAACCCUAAACCCUUUCUAACACUAAACCGUACCUAACCCGAAACCACGCUAACCCUAAACCCUACCUAACCCUAAACCCUACUAUCCCUAAACCCUACCUAAUUCUAAACCCUACCUAACCUUCAACCCUACCUAACCCUAAACCCUACCUAACCCAAAACCCUACCUAACCCUAAACCCUACCUACCCUAAACCUUACCUAACCCUAAAUUUUACCUAGCCCUAAAACCUACUAACCCUAAACCCUACCUAACCCUAAAUCCUACCAACCUUAAACCCUACCUAACCUUAAACCCUACUAACCCUAAACCCUACCUAACCCUAAACCCUUUUUAACCUUAAACCCUACCUAACCUUAAACCCUUUCUUACCCUAAACCCUUCCAAACCCUAAACCCUGCCUAACCCUAAAAAGCCUACCUAGCCCUAA